CCUGAAGGAACGUUGAAGACGACGACGUUGAUAGGCCGGGUGUGUAAGCGCAGCGAUGUGUUGAGCUAACCGGUACUAAUGAACCGUGAGGCUUAACCUUACAACGCCGAAG
rnacentral:rRNA from 1 species